rnacentral:rRNA from 1 species
UACGGAGGGUGCAAGCGUUAUCCGGAUUUACUGGGUUUAAAGGGAGCGCAGGCGGAUUGGUAAGUCAGUGGUGAAAUACCCGUGCUUAACAUGGGAACUGCCAUUGAUACUAUCAGUCUUGAAUGUUGUUGAGGUUUGCGGAAUGGGUCAUGUAGCGGUGAAAUGCAUAGAUAUGACCCGGAACACCUAUUGCGAAGGCAGCAGGCUAAACAAAUAUUGACGCUGAGGCUCGAAGCGUGGGGAUCAAACAGG